UACAGAGGGUGCGAGCGUUAAUCGGAAUUACUGGGCGUAAAGCGUGCGCAGUCGGUUAUGUAAGUCGGAUGUGAAAUCCCCGGGCUCAACCUGGGAAUUGCAUUCGAAACUGAAUAGCUAGAGUUCGGCAGAGGGAAGUGGAAUUUCCGGUGUAGCGGUGAAAUGGGUAGAUAUCGGGAGGAACAUCAGUGGCGAAAGCGACUUCCUGGACCAGAACUGACGAUCAGGCACGAAAGCGUGGGGAGCAAACAGG
rnacentral:rRNA from 1 species